GGGUUGUGAGGUUAAGCGACUAAGCGUACACGGUGGAUGCCCUGGCAGUCAGAGGCGAUGAAGGACGUGCUAAUCUGCGAAAAGCGUCGGUAAGGUGAUAUGAACCGUUAUAACCGGCGAUGUCCGAAUGGGGAAACCCAGUGCAAUUCGUUGCACUAUCGUUAACUGAAUACAUAGGUUAACGAGGCGAACCGGGGGAACUGAAACAUCUAAGUACCCCGAGGAAAAGAAAUCAACCGAGAUUCCCCCAGUAGCGGCGAGCGAACGGGGAGCAGCCCAGAGUCUGAAUCAGCUUGUGUGUUAGUGGAACGGUCUGGAAAGUCCGACGGUACAGGGUGAUAGUCCCGUACACCAAAAUGCACAGGCUGUGAACUCGAAGAGUAGGGCGGGACACGUGGUAUCCUGUCUGAAUAUGGGGGGACCAUCCUCCAAGGCUAAAUACUCCUGACUGACCGAUAGUGAACCAGUACCGUGAGGGAAAGGCGAAAAGAACCCCGGCGAGGGGAGUGAAAAAGAACCUGAAACCGUGUACGUACAAGCAGUGGGAGCACCUUCGGGUGUGACUGCGUACCUUUUGUAUAAUGGGUCAGCGACUUAUAUUCUGUAGCAAGGUUAACCGUAUAGGGGAGCCGCAGGGAAACCGAGUCUUAACUGGGCGUUAAGUUGCAGGGUAUAGACCCGAAACCCGGUGAUCUAGCCAUGGGCAGGUUGAAGGUUGGGUAACACUAACUGGAGGACCGAACCGACUAAUGUUGAAAAAUUAGCGGAUGACUUGUGGCUGGGGGUGAAAGGCCAAUCAAACCGGGAGAUAGCUGGUUCUCCCCGAAAGCUAUUUAGGUAGCGCCUCGUGAACUCAUCUUCGGGGGUAGAGCACUGUUUCGGCUAGGGGGUCAUCCCGACUUACCAACCCGAUGCAAACUACGAAUACCGAAGAAUGUUAUCACGGGAGACACACGGCGGGUGCUAACGUCCGUCGUGAAGAGGGAAACAACCCAGACCGCCAGCUAAGGUCCCAAAGUCAUGGUUAAGUGGGAAACGAUGUGGGAAGGCACAGACAGCCAGGAUGUUGGCUUAGAAGCAGCCAUCAUUUAAAGAAAGCGUAAUAGCUCACUGGUCGAGUCGGCCUGCGCGGAAGAUGUAACGGGGCUAAACCAUGCACCGAAGCUGCGGCAGCGACACUAUGUGUUGUUGGGUAGGGGAGCGUUCUGUAAGCCUGCGAAGGUGACCUGUGAGGGUUGCUGGAGGUAUCAGAAGUGCGAAUGCUGACAUAAGUAACGAUAAAGCGGGUGAAAAGCCCGCUCGCCGGAAGACCAAGGGUUCCUGUCCAACGUUAAUCGGGGCAGGGUGAGUCGACCCCUAAGGCGAGGCCGAAAGGCGUAGUCGAUGGGAAACAGGUUAAUAUUCCUGUACUUGGUGUUACUGCGAAGGGGGGACGGAGAAGGCUAUGUUAGCCGGGCGACGGUUGUCCCGGUUUAAGCAUGUAGGCUGAUUGUCCAGGCAAAUCCGGAUAAUCAAGGCUGAGGUGUGAUGACGAGGCACUACGGUGCUGAAGUAACAAAUGCCCUGCUUCCAGGAAAAGCCUCUAAGCAUCAGGUAACAUCAAAUCGUACCCCAAACCGACACAGGUGGUCAGGUAGAGAAUACCAAGGCGCUUGAGAGAACUCGGGUGAAGGAACUAGGCAAAAUGGUGCCGUAACUUCGGGAGAAGGCACGCUGGUGUGUAGGUGAAGCCCCUGCGGGUGGAGCUGAGACCAGUCGAAGAUACCAGCUGGCUGCAACUGUUUAUUAAAAACACAGCACUGUGCAAACACGAAAGUGGACGUAUACGGUGUGACGCCUGCCCGGUGCCGGAAGGUUAAUUGAUGGGGUUAUCCGUAAGGAGAAGCUCUUGAUCGAAGCCCCGGUAAACGGCGGCCGUAACUAUAACGGUCCUAAGGUAGCGAAAUUCCUUGUCGGGUAAGUUCCGACCUGCACGAAUGGCGUAAUGAUGGCCAGGCUGUCUCCACCCGAGACUCAGUGAAAUUGAACUCGCUGUGAAGAUGCAGUGUACCCGCGGCAAGACGGAAAGACCCCGUGAACCUUUACUAUAGCUUGACACUGAACAUUGAGCCUUGAUGUGUAGGAUAGGUGGGAGGCUUUGAAGCGUGGACGCCAGUCUGCGUGGAGCCAACCUUGAAAUACCACCCUUUAAUGUUUGAUGUUCUAACGUUGGCCCCUUACCGGGGUUGCGGACAGUGUCUGGUGGGUAGUUUGACUGGGGCGGUCUCCUCCCAAAGCGUAACGGAGGAGCACGAAGGUUAGCUAAUCCUGGUCGGACAUCAGGAGGUUAGUGCAAUGGCAUAAGCUAGCUUGACUGCGAGCGUGACGGCGCGAGCAGGUGCGAAAGCAGGUCAUAGUGAUCCGGUGGUUCUGAAUGGAAGGGCCAUCGCUCAACGGAUAAAAGGUACUCCGGGGAUAACAGGCUGAUACCGCCCAAGAGUUCAUAUCGACGGCGGUGUUUGGCACCUCGAUGUCGGCUCAUCACAUCCUGGGGCUGAAGUAGGUCCCAAGGGUAUGGCUGUUCGCCAUUUAAAGUGGUACGCGAGCUGGGUUUAGAACGUCGUGAGACAGUUCGGUCCCUAUCUGCCGUGGGCGCUGGAGAAUUGAGGGGGGCUGCUCCUAGUACGAGAGGACCGGAGUGGACGCAUCACUGGUGUUCGGGUUGUCAUGCCAAUGGCACUGCCCGGUAGCUAAAUGCGGAAGAGAUAAGUGCUGAAAGCAUCUAAGCACGAAACUUGCCCCGAGAUGAGUUCUCCCUGAGACUUUAAGUCUCCUGAAGGAACGUUAAAGACGAUGACGUUGAUAGGCCGGGUGUGUAAGCGCAGCGAUGCGUUGAGCUAACCGGUACUAAUGAACCGUGAGGCUUAACCUUACAACGCCGAAG
rnacentral:rRNA from 1 species